ensembl:snRNA U6atac minor spliceosomal RNA
GUGUUGUAUGAAAGGAGAGAAGGUUAGCACUCCCCUUGACAAGGAUGGAAGAGGCCUUCAGGCCUAACAACACGCAUACGGUUAAGGCAUUGCCACUUACUUCGUGGCAUCUAACCACUGUUAAAA